rnacentral:rRNA from 1 species
CGUUGCCUUUCGAGAAUGACUUAGCGGCGGACGGGUGAGUACACGUAGGCAACCUGCCCUUCAGACUGGGAUAACUACCGGAAACGGUAGCUAAUACCGGAUAAUUUCUUUUUUCUCCUGAGAGAAGAAUGAAAGACGGGAGCAAUCUGUCACUGAGGGAUGGGCCUGCGGCGCAUUAGCUAGUUGGUGGGGUAACGGCCCACCAAGGCGACGAUGCGUAGCCGACCUGAGAGGGUGACGGCACACUGGGACUGAGACACGGCCCAGACUCCUCGGGAGGCAGCAGUAGGGAAUCUUCCGCAAUGGGCGAAAGCCUGACGGAGCAACGCCGCGUGAGUGAUGAAGGUUUUCGGAUCGUAAAGCUCUGUUGCCAGGGAAGAACGUCCGGUAGAGUACUGCUACGGAGUGACGGUCCUGAGAAGAAAGCCCCGGCUAACUACGUGCCAGCAGCCGCGGGUAAUACGUAGGGGGCAAGCGUUGUCCGGAAUUAUUGGGCGUAAAGCGCGCGCAGGCGGGCUAUUUAAGUCUGGUGUUUUAAACCUUGGGCUCAACCUGAGGUCGCACUGGAAACUGGGUGGCUUGAGUACGGAAGAGGAAAGUGGAAUUCAUGACGUGUAGCGGUGAAAUGCGUAGAUAUGUGGAGGAACACCAGUGGCGAAGGCGACUUUCUGGGCUGUAACUGACGCUGAGGCGCGAAAGCGUGGGGAGCAAACAGGAAUUAGAAUACCCUGGUAGUCCACGCCGUAAACGAUGAGUGCCUAGGUGUUUAGGGGUUUCGAUCCCUUGGUGCCGAAGUUACACAGUAAGCACUCCGCCUGGGGAGUCGGCGCAAGACUGAACUCAAAGGAAUUGACGGGGACCCGCACAAGCAGUGGAGUAUGUGGUUUAAUUCGAAGCAACGCGAAGAACCUUACCAGGUCUUGACAAUCCCUCUGAAUCUGCUAGAGAUAGCUAGCGGCCUUCGGGACAGAGGAGACAGGUGGUGCAAUGGUUGUCGUCAGCUCGUGUCGUGAGAUGUUGGGUUUAAGUCCCGCAACGAGCGCAACCCUUAACUUUAGUUGCCAGCAGGUAUAUGCCUGGGCACCUCUAGAGUGACUGCCGGUGACAAACCGGAGGAAGGUGGGGAUGACGUCAAAUCAUCAUGCCCCUUAUGACCUGGGCUCACACGUUCUCAAU